rfam:Pseudomonas denitrificans ATCC 13867, complete genome.
UGACCAGGGGGCCGGGAUGUUCGAGGCGAUUCAGGCCUUGAGCGACCCAGGGGUACAGGGGGUACCUCCGCAACGGCGGACCGGGUCAGGGUGGAA